GCGCUAUUGGUGCAAUGGUUAGCAUUGCUGGUAUUUAUAUCUUUCUGGUCCCCGCUCCCAAACCGGUGCUAAUCUCGUCGCCAGCCUUCCAUCGAUCGGUCGUGUAAGCAGCAGGUUCGGGUUCGAUUCCCGAAUAGCGCA
rnacentral:tRNA from 1 species